CCUACGGGAGGCAGCAGUGGGGAAUAUUGGACAAUGGGGGCAACCCUGAUCCAGCCAUGCCGCGUGAGUGAUGACGGCCUUAGGGUUGUAAAGCUCUUUUCUCCGGGACGAUAAUGACGGUACCGGAGGAAUAAGCCCCGGCUAACUUCGUGCCAGCAGCCGCGGUAAUACGAAGGGGGCUAGCGUUGCUCGGAAUCACUGGGCGUAAAGGGCGCGUAGGCGGCUGACUUAGUCGAGGGUGAAAGCCCGUGGCUCAACCACGGAAUGGCCUUCGAUACUGGUUGGCUUGAGACCGGAAGAGGACAGCGGAACUGCGAGUGUAGAGGUGAAAUUCGUAGAUAUUCGCAAGAACACCAGUGGCGAAGGCGGCUGUCUGGUCCGGUUCUGACGCUGAGGCGCGAAAGCGUGGGGAGCAAACAGGAUUAGAUACCCUGGUAGUCCACGCUGUAAACGAUGAAUGCUAGCCGUUGGUCUGCAUGCAGGUCAGUGGCGCCGCUAACGCAUUAAGCAUUCCGCCUGGGGAGUACGGUCGCAAGAUUAAAACUUAAAGGAAUUGACGG
rnacentral:rRNA from 1 species